UACGUAGGGGGCAAGCGUUGUCCGGAAUCAUUGGGCGUAAAGAGCGUGUAGGCGGUCCGGUAAGUCGGCUGUGAAAGUCCAGGGCUCAACCCUGGGAUGCCGGUCGAUACUGCCGGACUAGAGUCCGGAAGAGGCAAGUGGAAUUCCCGGUGUAGCGGUGAAAUGCGCAGAUAUCUGGAGGAAUACCGGUGGCGAAGGCGGCAUCCUGGACCGGCAUUGACGCUGAGGAGCGAAAGCCAGGGGAGCAAACGGG
rnacentral:rRNA from 1 species